AACGAAGAUUUCGGGGGCCUCGGUACAGGCAGGCUGGGGAAUCCCCUCUUUUACACCCGGCGGCAGACGCAGCAUCCGCGCGCAACCGCCACACCCGUUUCGGGGACCUCGGUACAGGCAGGCUGAGAACUCCCCUCUUUUAUGCCCGGCGGUAGCGCAGCGAUCCGCGCCUCCGCCCUCCCGUUUGGGGACCUCGGUACAGGCAGGCUGAGAAUUCCCCCUUUUAUUCCCGGCCG
rfam:Pseudomonas aeruginosa PAO1, complete genome.